rnacentral:rRNA from 1 species
UACGGGGGGGGCAAGCGUUGUUCGGAAUUACUGGGCGUAAAGCGCGCGUAGGCGGCCUGUUAAGUCGGACGUGAAAUCCCUCGGCUCAACCGGGGAACUGCGUCUGAUACUGGCGGGCUUGAAUUCGGGAGAGGGAUGUGGAAUUCCAGGUGUAGCGGUGAAAUGCGUAGAUAUCUGGAGGAACACCGGUGGCGAAGGCGGCAUCCUGGACCGACAUUGACGCUGAGGCGCGAAAGCCAGGGGAGCAAACAGG